GACGGAGGAUGCAAGCGUUAUCCGGAAUGAUUGGGCGUAAAGCGUCCGCAGGUGGCAGUUCAAGUCUGCUGUCAAAGACCGGGGCUUAACUUCGGAAAGGCAGUGGAAACUGAACAGCUAGAGUAUGGUAGGGGCAGAGGGAAUUCCUGGUGUAGCGGUGAAAUGCGCAGAUAUUAGGAGGAACACCGGUGGCGAAGGCGGCCAUCUGGGACAUAACUGACACUGAGGCGCGAAAGCGUGGGGAUCAAACAGG
rnacentral:rRNA from 1 species